GGCCUGUUAGCUCAGCUGGUUAGAGCGUGGUGCUAAUAACGCCAAGGACAGGGUUCGAUCCCCACAUGGGCCA
rnacentral:tRNA from 1 species